CGCUGGUAGACGUAGUCAGCAUACAAAAUACAAGUAGCGUAGUAAUUCCAAUCCCUUUUUCCCAAGACCUGGACGACACACAGUUUGGGAUUUAACUCAACUUUUAUUGCACCACAGCUGGUUUUAUACACAUCCCAUUCAAGGGGUUUCCAUAAUUACAUUCCAGGGGUUUUUCCCUGGUGGACUGUGUGGAAAACUUUGUGCGCAAUAAUAUUUCCCAUCAUCCUUUUCUGUACUGGAGAGAUAAUUGCGUAAGAGUACACCUUAAAUUAUAUUAUCUCUCCAUACAGAAAAUCAUACAAUAUAGAUCAAAAAUAUAUAACUUGCAAAAUAUGUGUCUGAACUCCACGAAAGA